CACUUUAUUACAGCAUGUGGUGAUGUGAAAGUGACCUACUGGACAGCCAGUCUCGCUUUCUCUUUCUGCUGAAAGAGAACUCACCGUCCAGCUCCUUUCCAUUUGUCUUUCCAACGCGAGAACCACAUUUGGUUAUCUACUGAUGGAGAUAAGGCUGCAGCUGAAGACAGGAUGCAGAGCUGACCCAGAACGGGCGCCUGAAUGCGCUCGCUGCCUUUGUUUGGUGUUUGCUUUGUGCAGAUGAGGCCGCUUGAUAGCCAACGCUGGCGCCAUUUAACUAUUAAUACCAAGCAGACUAAGCAAAUCUGCACAGGCCUCAGCUGGGACGGUAAAGACGACCUUGUGCUGAGUGAUGCUCCGUACACAAACAUGACUGAUCUUAGAGCCUCAAACACAACUCCAUCAGCUGACUGAGGAGCAGACAAACCAAAGUUUAUUGUCUUCUCUGCGUGGCAUGUGAUUUCCUCCCCGAUGGUCUGCCAGCCUGUUCGAGCCCCAGCCGCUCCUACCAGCAAGGCAAGGAAACUCCCUUUAAGAAGGGCUCGCUGCUGAGGUUUUCACUGGAGAGCCUCCCAGAACAACACACUGAUGCUUGGGUGGUAACCUCCACAUUACAUCAGGGACCUGGUGAACCAAGCCUCAGCAGGCUGGCUUCUGUAGCCAUGAAGGACGAGUCUGCGACGGUUAGCAUACAGGUGAUGUGGAUUUUACUGCAAAGAUGGUGCUUUGUUUUCACUUCAUUGUCCAGUCCGACUUUGUGUCCUGGACUGUAGCAGCAGCAAUGUUUGUGAAGAAGAAAUAAGUUUUUUCUGUCUCAAGGGUUUUGACAUUUCUGUGACCUUUCCAGGACGUUUUUCUGCCUUUACACGAAGGUGAUGUGACUGUUUUUGAUCUCAUCAACGUGAUCCUGACCUGUCAGUGAGAUCAAUACC